rnacentral:rRNA from 1 species
CUAGGAGGUUGGCUUAGAAGCAGCCAUCCUUUAAAGAAAGCGUAAUAGCUCACUAGUCGAGUCGGCCUGCGCGGAAGAUGUAACGGGGCUCAAACCACACACCGAAGCUGCGGGUGUCACGUAAGUGACGCGGUAGAGGAGCGUUCUGUAAGCCUGUGAAGGUGAGUUGAGAAGCUUGCUGGAGGUAUCAGAAGUGCGAAUGCUGACAUGAGUAACGACAAUGGGUGUGAAAAACACCCACGCCGAAAGACCAAGGGUUCCUGCGCAACGUUAAUCGACGCAGGGUUAGUCGGUUCCUAAGGCGAGGCUGAAAAGCGUAGUCGAUGGGAAACAGGUUAAUAUUCCUGUACUUCUGGUUACUGCGAUGGAGGGACGGAGAAGGCUAGGCCAGCUUGGCGUUGGUUGUCCAAGUUUAAGGUGGUAGGCUGAAAUCUUAGGUAAAUCCGGGGUUUCAAGGCCGAGAGCUGAUGACGAGUCGUCUUUUAGAUGACGAAGUGGUUGAUGCCAUGCUUCCAAGAAAAGCUCCUAAGCUUCAGGUAACCAGGAACCGUACCCCAAACCGACACAGGUGGUCGGGUAGAGAAUACCAAGGCGCUUGAGAGAACUCGGGUGAAGGAACUAGGCAAAAUGGCACCGUAACUUCGGGAGAAGGUGCGCCGGCUAGGGUGAAGGAUUUACUCCGUAAGCUCUGGCUGGUCGAAGAUACCAGGCCGCUGCG